UUCUAAAAAUAGCCCGGCCUGUCAAAGCUGGUAACCGUCAGGCAGGGCAAAGACAGGGCUGCUCGGGGAGGCAGCGCGGCUGGGAGCAGGGAGGACUCCCAGCUCUGGAGCUCCUGCCGCCCACACGCACCAGGCUCCGUGGCCAGCGGGCAGUCUGCAUCCUGGGGCCAUGACUGCCUCCCAGGCGACGCCAUCAGAACCGGAAACAGGGAAGAAGCAGACCCAGCAGAGAAGUGUGCACAAGGAGCGGGAAGGAAGCCUGAGAUGGUCUCAAACCACCGACCCCGAGGGAACAGAACUCGCGGCCCACGGCCCACAGCCCUCGCCCGACACAAGGUCAAACCCACACGUGUCUAAGCAGCUUAACCCACACACUGCACUGAGGUUGCCUGGGUUCGGGGGGAUUCCAGGUGCACUGGCCUCAGUGAGUGCCACAGACAGAAUCACAUCUGGGGACUGGGCCGGAGGCCCUCUGUCAACACUCUUCAGGUCAGACCGGAGGCAUUUGGAAGAAAAGUCCAAAUGAAAGCACUCUGUUUUAAAAGAGCCAAAACACAGCACACUUGGGUCUCUCCGAUAGGAGAAAUUUCUAUACACUAAGAUGCAAAUCGUGGGAGUUAAGAAAGAACCCAGUGCAGCUAAAAUCAGCAUGAAUGUUAAUCUAAACAUCGUAAAAUUAUAAAACUGCACCAGAAA